rnacentral:rRNA from 1 species
AACGAACGCUGGCGGCGUGGAUUAGGCAUGCAAGUCGAACGAGAAUUCUGGUGUAGCAAUACAUCGGGAGGACAGUGGCGGAAGGGUGAGUAACGCGCGGGCAAUCUGCCCUUAAGCUGGGGAUAACAUUCCGAAAGGAGUGCUAAUACCGAAUAUGGUCGCUCCGGGCAUCCGGGGCUAUCUAAAGAUGGGGACCGUAAGGCCUGUCACUUAAGGAUGAGCCCACGUACUAUCAGCUAGUUGGUGAGGUAACGGCCCACCAAGGCUAUGACGGUUAGCUGGUCUGAGAGGAUGGUCAGCCACACUGGGACUGAGACACUGCCCAGACUCCUACGGGAGGCUGCAGUCGAGGAUCAUUCGCAAUGGGGGAAACCCUGACGGUGCGACGCCGCGUGCAGGAUGAAGGCCUUCGGGUCGUAAACUGCUGUCAUGAGGGAGCAACGAUUCCGUGGUAAUACUACCGGGAAGUGAUAGUACCUCAGAAGAAGCCCGGCUAACUCUGUG